rnacentral:tRNA from 1 species
UGGCAUAGUGGUGAAAGCACUCAGCUGCUAACUGAAAGGUCGGUGGUUCAAACUCACC